rnacentral:pre_miRNA from 1 species
ACAACAUUUGGACCGGCAGUCUACCGAACGAUUACAGCCGGUCGGUGGAAGAUCUUCCUUUCGUCGU